AUUUGCUUGUGUCUUAUUGAAGUGGUUACUCUUGGUGCUGGGUUUGAGAUAGUUUGGGUUCGAGAUAGUUUGGUUUGAAGCUGCUCCAUGUGUAAUUGGACACCUUGGGAAGGCAUUUGAAUGUGCUCUUGGCAGCAGCACUACUUUUUUGUAUCGGUUGAGGGAGGCCUUGGAGGAAGCAAACAUAUAAUAUUUUUUCUUUUGAUAAGAUGGAG